GACGAACGCUGGCGGCGUGCUUAACACAUGCAAGUCGAACGGUAAGGCCCUUCGGGGUACACGAGUGGCGAACGGGUGAGUAACACGUGGGUGAUCUGCCCUGCACUUCGGGAUAAGCCUGGGAAACUGGGUCUAAUACCGGAUAGGACCACUGCCUGCAUGGGUGGUGGUGGAAAGCUUUUGCGGUGUGGGAUGGGCCCGCGGCCUAUCAGCUUGUUGGUGGGGUGAUGGCCUACCAAGGCGACGACGGGUAGCCGGCCUGAGAGGGUGACCGGCCACACUGGGACUGAGAUACGGCCCAGACUCCUACGGGAGGAAGCAGUGGGGAAUAUUGCACAAUGGGCGCAAGCUUGAUGCAGCGACGCCGCGUGAGGGAUGACGGCCUUCGGGUUGUAAACCUCUUUCAGCGCCGACGAAGCGCAAGUGACGGUAGGUGCAGAAGAAGGACCGGCCAACUACGUGCCAGCCGCCGCCGUAA
rnacentral:rRNA from 1 species